rnacentral:rRNA from 1 species
UCCUACGGGAGGCAGCAGUGGGGAAUAUUGCACAAUGGGCGCAAGCCUGAUGCAGCGACGCCGCGUGGGGGAUGACGGCCUUCGGGUUGUAAACCCCUUUCGCCAGGGACGAAGAGAGAUUGACGGUACCUGGAGAAGAAGGACCGGCCAACUACGUGCCAGCAGCCGCGGUAAUACGUAGGGUCCGAGCGUUGUCCGGAAUUACUGGGCGUAAAGAGCUCGUAGGUGGUUUGUCGCGUUGUUCGUGAAAACUCACAGCUUAACUGUGGGCGUGCGGGCGAUACGGGCAGACUGGAGUACUGCAGGGGAGACUGGAAUUCCUGGUGUAGCGGUGGAAUGCGCAGAUAUCAGGAGGAACACCGGUGGCGAAGGCGGGUCUCUGGGCAGUAACUGACGCUGAGGAGCGAAAGCGUGGGGAGCGAACAGGAUUAGAUACCCUGGUAGC